rnacentral:misc_RNA from 1 species
AACGCACCUUGCGCUCCUUGGUAUUCCGAGGAGCACGCCUGUUCGAGUGUCAUGAAGCUCUCAAGCGAUAAUAACUUUAUUGUUGUUAUUUAGCUUGGAUUUGGGACCUGCUGUGUUACAACGGCUGUCCCUAAAUGUAUUAGCCGGCUCUAAUGGAAGACUAGGUUCUUACUCGGUGUGAUAAUUAUCUUACGCUGAGGACAUUUCUCUUGUAAAAGGGAGAGAUGGCCAAGACUACUUUUAGGCUGCUUCUAAUCGUCUCUUCUGACAAACAAAUUAUUCAAAUCUGACCUCGAAUCAGGUGGGACUACCCGCUGAACUUAA